rnacentral:tRNA from 1 species
GCCAAGGUAGCUCAGUUGGUAGAGCACACGGCUGAAAACCGUGGGGUCGCCAGUUCGAUCCUGGCCCUUGGCACCA